rnacentral:lncRNA from 1 species
AGCUUUGUUUGUUUGUUUUUGAGACAGUCUUGCUCCAUUGCCCAGGUGCAAUCUGGGCUCACUACAACCUCUGCCUUUCGGACUCAAGUGAUUCUCCUGCUUCAGACUUUCAAGUAGCUGGGAUUACAGAGCUGCAAACUACUUUUUAUGCACCUUCUGCAGCCUUGUAUGACUUCCCUGAGGAACUUACACUUGUUUUCCUCUCCAUUAAUGUGCAAUUUCUCCUCCUGUUUCAUUGUGUAGAGCUAAGAAGGUGAAGUAAUUGAAAGCGCCCCUUUCUUUUCACUCUGAUCUGAAAUUACAACAGGCUGAGUGGAGCGGGAAUGAGCCUGUGUGUUGCUCAAGCUGUGAAGAGCCAAGUUACAGAAGAGGUAGAGGAAAUAUGACAGGGCUCAAACAACGGCUGCUGAAUUAUAAUAUUUCUGAAGGCCCUAAAGUAUGCUCUUUCUUCCCUCACCCCCUUGCCCCUGAGCCAGUCAGGGAUGAGACUGGCAGAGCACUACUACUACAUCCCUUCUGCUUUCUGUCAUAAACCUGGAACACUCUAGCAUGAUUAAAGAGAUUCAAACAAUGCACUCAACUCCAAUUCUUUCUGAAUCCAUUCUUGCCAAGAAAUUAUAAAGUGGAAUAUGUGAGUAUUUUUCUUAAAUAAUGG